GCCCCCGGCGCUGCUCCUCGCCGCUCCCGCCCGGCGCGCCCAGGGCCGGGGGCUGUGGGGCCACCGAGCCGCCCGGACGCUGGAGUCCCGAGUCACCUCACGGCUCCUUCUGCUGCCUCCCCUGCCCCACCACCGCACCUUCCAAGUCCUGGGAAAUCCAGAGCCGCCUCGUCAACUCAGAUUUAUCACCAAACAAAGAUUUAUUGUGACUGUAUCUUGACUCCAGCUUCACACCCUGGGGCCAUGGUAUGGCUCACCAUUGCCUGGGGCCAGUGUGACUCUGAGAAAAUGUGAAAUUGCAUAUGUGGCUCACAUUGUUCUCCUGUUGGCAGCUCUGUUCGAGAGCAGAGGAGCCACCAGCUCGACUUGAGUCUCUUCUCCAUCGUCAUCUCCAGGGGCCUCCUGACUACAGACUUCCUCUGCUACAAUCCACUUGACUGAUCACACUGCCUCAAGACACAAUUUUCUACACAUUGCCCCUGGUUCAACCCCCUGGACAAAAUCCCAGCUCUGGACCUUGGCAUCCAAGGUCCUUCGCGAUGCAGCCCUGGCUACCGUUGCCUUAUCUCUGAGUCACUCUAUGAGCCCAUCUCGCUCUCCAGCCAAAAGGUGUCCUUGGCCCUCCACAUGUCUUGCUCAUUGCUCAGGCCUCCUCUGCUAAGUCUCUGGCCUCGUGGGCCCUGCCUGGCCCCCCAGGUUGUCUUGGGAAGACUCCUGAGCACUCCUGGUCCUCACCAGUCCAACAUAGCGUUGGCUCCAUCCUCAUUCUCCUGCUGGUUUUGUUGCUUAUUUUUCCUAUGUAAAGAUUGUAUCCCAACUAGACUAUACUAAACACGAAAAGGACUUUCUCUCCUAGCAUUUCAUACCUUCUAGAAAACAUACCCAAGCACCUUCCGCGUCACACAUAGUCAAUAAAAGAGCUGACACAAAUUGCUUAGGGCAUCCACAGUGCUUCUGAAGUGGUCAGGCCACGGCGACCUUCUCUUUCUGGAAUCCUGGGUAUCUUGCCUCCUCUCCGGGCCGUUUAUCACACUGUUGGUACUUAACAGGACAACUUGGAAAUGUUCCAUGAAGGUAUACAGAGCCUCCUUCCCCGCCACGUCCCACCCAGGAUGACCACAAUUUAUCUCACUGUGCUCUACUGAUGACCGUUUAAAUUAUUCCCAGUCUUUCACUAGAAAAAAAAAAAAAAAAAAAGCGGCUCUGAAAAUCUUGAACCUCUGUGGAUAUUUCUGCAGGGUAAGUCUCUUAAGGUGAAACUAUUAAGACAACAGGCAUGUUUGUAGUUUCAAGAUAUAUUUUCUGGCUGGCGCUGUGGGGCAGCAGGUUAAAGCCCCGGCCCGAAGUGCUGUCAUCCCAUGUGGGUAAUGGUUCUAGUCCAGGCUGCUCCUCUUCCAGUCCAGCUCUCUGCUAUGGCCUGGAAAGGCAGUGGAAGACAGCUCUCAAGUCCUCGGGCCCCUGCACCCACGUGAGAGACCUGGAAGAAGCUCCUGGCUCCUGGUUUUAGAGUGGUUCAGUUCCAGCCGUUUCGGCCAUUUGGGGAGUAACCCAGCGGAUAGAAGACCUCUCUUUUCUCUGUGUUUCUAUCUCUCUCUGUAACUCUGUCUUUCAAAUAAAUAAAAAUAAACUUUUUUUAAAAAAGAUAUAUUUUCAUAUUUCCCUCUUUGAAGCUGUUUGAGAAUGGACACUCCCCAGUGAUGUACGACAGGUAAGUGAUUGUGUUCAGUGUUUUCAAUGGAUUCUAAGGAGCAGAAGAACCAUAUUUGAUUAAACCAUUCUCUGACUUUUCUGUUUGGGCUUUGUCUCUUUUCGAUAGAUAAACCUACUUUGUUGUCCUAGAAACU